CGUUUCCGUAGGUGAACCUGCGGAAGGAUCAUUGAAUAAUGCUAAGCCUACUGAUAGGGUCUUCUGAUCCUAUUGGUAGGUGAACCACACGCACACAAUGUUUGGUGUCCGACGUAAAGCUUGCCUUUCGGUGGGCUUUCAAUUUUCACACCAGUUGAACACUGUGUCAAACCAAACUCUGAAGUUGUGGCUGCUAUUAACUGGCAGUCUUAACCAAAUACAACUCUCAACAACGGAUAUCUUGGCUCUCGCAACGAUGAAGAACGCAGCGAAAUGCGAUACGUAGUGUGAAUUGCAGAAUUCCGUGAACCAUCGAAUCUUUGAACGCAUAUUGCGCUCAACCCUUCGGGGAAGAGCAUGUCUGCCUCAGCGUCGGUUUUUACCCUCAUCCCUCCUAUUUUUAAUAGGCCUGCCGGUUUGCUCAAACCAGCAAUUGGGAUGGAUCUGGCUUUCCCAACCAUCCGUGGUUGGGUUGGCUGAAGCACAGAGGCUUAAGCUAGGACCCGAUAUGGGCUCAACUGGAUAGGUAGAGCAAUCUACACGAAGUUGUGCUUGUGGACCGUGCUAGGAGCCAAGCAGGAAACUACUCAUGGGUUCGACCUGAGCUCAGGCAAGGCUACCCGCUGAACUUAAGCAUA
rnacentral:rRNA from 1 species